GUCUGAGAGGAUGAUCAGCCACACUGGAACUGAGACACGGUCCAGACUCCUACGGGAGGCAGCAGUGGGGAAUAUUGGACAAUGGGCGCAAGCCUGAUCCAGCCAUACCGCGUGGGUGAAGAAGGCCUUCGGGUUGUAAAGCCCUUUUGUUGGGAAAGAAAUCCAGCUGGCUAAUACCCGGUUGGGAUGACGGUACCCAAAGAAUAAGCACCGGCUAACUUCGUGCCAGCAGCCGCGGUAAUACGAAGGGUGCAAGCGUUACUCGGAAUUACUGGGCGUAAAGCGUGCGUAGGUGGUCGUUUAAGUCCGUUGUGAAAGCCCUGGGCUCAACCUG
rnacentral:rRNA from 1 species